rnacentral:snRNA from 1 species
GCUCAUUCCUGAACAUAUACUAAAAUUGGGACAAUACGGAGAAGAUCAGCAUGGCCCUUGCCAAAGAUGACACGCAAAUUCAUGAAGCGUUCAUUUUUUGG